AACAGCCCCCCACCCCACCAGUAUUUUUUUUCCCGUGUCAGGAGCAACUUGAGUUGUACUUCGACCUAUGUACUUCUGCUAUGUACUUGAGUCGACCUAUGUACUUCUGCAAACAGAAGCAGAAUCAACAAACAAAGUAAACAUUCCACUAUGCCAAGGGGAGAAAUCAAUAGAUAUGUUCCUUGUGGAAAUAUACAGAACACAGCUCUUCAGCAUCUUCUGAACCAAGACAUGAGCACAAAAAAAGAGCUAUUCCGUCGAGUACAAGAAUGGGAUCAUGGAAUUCUUCUUCUGUUGUAUCCCAGCCACAGGCUGGCCACGGCCACGUUCAAGAUGAUGACACUGAAGGGGAUUUUGGUUUCCAAGAUGGAACAGAAGAGGAUUCUGGUUUGGGGAUUUUGCAGCAGUCUGAGCUUCCUGUUAGAGACAUGCAGUUUCACUUUUAGCAAGAUGACCUGCUGGCCCCAGAAGAGUCAGAUAACGGUCAAGCUGACAUUCUUUCUUUGGGAGUUUUUGAGGAGGAUUCGACAGUUGAGAGAAAUAAUGAGGAGGUAACUGGACAACUAACAAAUAAUGACGGAGCCGGGGCAACUGAAGACCAGGUGCGAGAUAACAGUGACCCUGAGCUGUCCAGGCAAGACCGUUUGUCUUGGCGGGGCUCUGAGCUCCGCAGAAGUGAUCGUUUGGCGCGCAAAAGACAGUUUUUGAAAGAAUCAAGCUGUGGCAAAAGAAACGCCUUCUUGGGUUGCUAUUAAAAGAAGCCUGUGCAGACCAUGCCCUUUGUCAGAGCAAUUCAUCGCUUCAUCCUUGUGCAUGUUUCCCUUGCCAACGUCUUGGAAGCUAGGGCCUUGUUUUGUGCUUUCUAAGGACUACACUUUGCCUCUGGGAUUACUUUGCAUUCUUGGACCCUGUUUCUUGCUUCCUACGGAUUAAUACCUGGUUUUGUGGAUUACUUAUAGUUUGGACCUUGUGUUUUGGAUCCUGUGGACUAAGACUUUGUGCUCUGAACUUCAUGUUUUGGAUUCUAUGGAUUAAGACCCUGUGCUUUGGAUUUCAUGGACUAACUCUAUGCCUUAUGGAUUAUUGCUAUUGCUUUGCCUUUUGAACCAAUGGACUUUGCCUUUUGAACUGAUGGACAUUUAUGCAUUAUUGAUUCCCUUCUACCUUUGGACACUUUCCUUAUAACUUUGAAUUAUCUUUUGAUUGCUUGCUUCAUCUAUAUACUACUUUGCUUUAAUAAAGACUUUAAAAGAC